UUGGGAGCUCUCCCAUAUGGUCGACCUGCAGGCGGCCGCGAAUUCACUAGUGAUUCGUAUUACCGCGGCUGCUGGCACAGAGUUAGCCGGUGCUUAUUCUGUCGGUAACGUCAAGACAGCAACGUAUUAGGUUACUGCCCUUCCUUCCAACUUAAAGUGCUUUACAAUCCGAAGACCUUCUUCACACACGCGGCAUGGCUGGAUCAGGCUUUCGCCCAUUGUCCAAUAUUCCCCACUGCUGCCUCCCGUAGGAGUCUGGGCCGUGUCUCAGUCCCAGUGUGGCGGAUCAUCCUCUCAGACCCGCUACAGAUCGUCGCCUUGGUAGGCCUUUACCCCACCAACUAGCUAAUCCGACUUAGGCUCAUCUAUUAGCGCAAGGCCCGAAGGUCCCCUGCUUUCUCCCGUAGGACGUAUGCGGUAUUAGCAUCCCUUUCGAGAUGUUGUCCCCCACUACCAGGCAGAUUCCUAGGCAUUACUCACCCGUCCGCCGCUCUCAAGAGAAGCAAGCUUCUCUCUACCGCUCGACUUGCAUGUGUUAGGCCUGCCGCCAGCGUUCAAUCUGAGCCAUGAUCAAACUCUAAUCGAAUUCCCGCGGCCGCCAUGGCGCCCGGGAGCAUGCGAC
rnacentral:rRNA from 1 species